GUGAGUCAUCGAAUCUUUGAACGCACACUGCACCCAAUGGUAUCCCCAUGGGUAUGCCUGAUUGAGUACCGGUAACAUAAUCUCAAGGUCGUAUGGCUGUAAAAGGCUGUGCUGGCACUUGGACUUGGGUCCUCCCUUCCUUCUCCUCACGGGGAUAUGAGGGUGACCUUAAAUACAGGACGCUGUACGCAUGUGGGGGGGAUUUCCCGCAUGAGUACUCGCCCGUCCUUGUCUCCAUUCACUUGGUGUAUUGGUCGCGGGUUCUUGGUCGAGGGGUUUUUACGCCCCCUGGUCUCGAGC
rnacentral:misc_RNA from 1 species